rnacentral:rRNA from 1 species
GAUGAACGCUGGCGGCGUGCCUAACACAUGCAAGUCGAGCGAUUCUCUUCGGAGAAGAGCGGCGGACGGGUGAGUAACGCGUGGGUAACCUGCCCUGUACACACGGAUAACAUACCGAAAGGUAUGCGAAUACGAGAUAAUAUGCUUUUAUCGCAUGGUAGAAGUAUCAAAGCUUUGCGGUACAGGGUGGACCCGCGUCUGAUUAGCUAGUUGGUAAGGUAACGGCUUACCAAGGCGACGAUCAGUAGCCGACCUGAGAGGGUGAUCGGCCACAUUGGAACUGGGACACGGUCCAAACUCCUACGGGAGGCAGCAGUGGGGAAUAUUGCACAAUGGGCGAAAGCCUGAUGCAGCAACGCCGCGUGAGCGAUGAAGGCCUUCGGGUCGUAAAGCCCUGUCCUCAAGGAAGAUAAUGACGGUACUUGAGGAGGAAGCCCCGGCUAACUACGUGCCAGCAGCCGCAGUAA